rnacentral:lncRNA from 1 species
UGAUAAAUAAACAUAUACGAUUUCAAUUGCCGGAACCAUCACCGUACAAUCCGUCGCAGCUUCCCAGAAUGUAUUUUCACAACAUAAUGGCCUUUCUCAUACCUACUAAAUUAUUGCAGAUUUAUAACAUAACUAUUGUUAAACCAAAGAACACAGAACAAUGACACCCACAAAACACAGUCACCGACAAAUUCAUUACAUGACAAGGACACUGAUAACACCGAAACCA